rnacentral:rRNA from 1 species
CCUACGGGAGGCAGCAGUGAGGAAUAUUGGUCAAUGGGCGAGAGCCUGAACCAGCCAAGUCGCGUGAGGGAGUACUGCCCUAUGGGUUGUAAACCUCUUUUGUCGGGGAGCAAAAGCCGGACGUGUCCGGCUGUGAGAGUACCCGAAGAAAAAGCCUCGGCUAACUCCGUGCCAGCAGCCGCGGUAAUACGGAGGAUGCGAGCGUUAUCCGGAUUUAUUGGGUUUAAAGGGUGCGCAGGCGGAUUUUUAAGUCAGCGGUAAAAUCGUGGGGCUCAACCCCAUCCAGUCGUUGAAACUGGGGAUCUAGAGUGUGCGAGAGGUAUGCGGAAUGCGUGGUGUAGCGGUGAAAUGCAUAGAUAUCACGCAGAACCCCGAUUGCGAAGGCAGCAUACCGGUGCACAACUGACGCUCAGGCACGAAAGCGUGGGUAUCGAACAGGAUUAGAUACCCGUGUAGUC